GGUAUCUCAACCUCCUCUCUCUCUCUCCCUCUCUCCUGAUCCUAAUGUACCAGCUCCUCUCCUGAUCCUAAUGUACCAGCUCCUCUCCUGGUCCUAAUGUACCAGCUCCUCUCCUGAUCCUAAUGUUCCAGCUCCUCUCCUGUUGCUCCUGUUUCUAUUAAUGCAUGUAGUUUUAGCCUUCAGGAGAUGAGGGAUUUAUUGAUAUGCUUUCUAUUUGUCGUUAAAGAUUUGAAUAUCAAUGUUCUCAUCCAAUGUGGCAGGAUUGUGUUGAUGCUCCUGUUCCUUACAAGGACCUACUCUCUCUCCAAUAGGGUCACCAGUAGGAGGGGCUGGGGGUAGAGCUUACAAUGGUAGCAAUGAAAUAUCAGCUUUCUUUGAUGUCCUCGAAUCUUGUGCCCACAUUUUUGAGUAUAUUGGAAGAAUAGAAAUGAUAAGCUAUAGGGCUGGGAUGAAGCUUCCAAAGGUUUAAAGUUACAUGUAGUUUCCAUUAAUCAUCAAUCACACGUGUAUGUA